GUGUGUGUGAUCUGAAGAUUGAUCCUCAAAACUUCACACCUUAUUAAUCUCUAUACAGUUGUAAGGGGUUUGCGGGUGGGUUGAUUGAUUCACAGUCAAUUUAGGAAGCAAGCUGAUGACUUUAAAGAGCUGAUCUAUUGAGAAAUUGUUGCCAUCUCUCGGAGCCCCUUUCAAGAUUUCAACCACCACUCUCACCGUCUUUUAUUGUUAUGUUGUUGCUUUAACCAUCUGAGCACCUCAUUAUAGACUUUAAGCAAAACUGUUAUGGGGAAAAGGAUAGACUUUCUUGUUUGUUGACUGGUGAUCUUGAUCUUUCACAACAUUUCAUUUAUCAGCUUUAAGCACCUUAUUUCGGACCUUGGGCAACUGUUAAUUAAUGAAACAAAAGGAUGAACUAUUUUCUUAUUUGAUGACUGGUGAUCUUGAUCUUUCACAACAUUUUUUUAUCAGCUCUGAGCACCUUAUUUUGGACCUUGGGCUACUGUUAAUGAAACAAUAGGAUGAACUGUUUUCUUAUUUGUUGACUGGUUGAUCUUCAUAUUCUUAACAUUAUUUGUAGCAAGUGUGAUUAACAUAGUUGUUUAUUAGUUUUGUGAGAAGGUGUUACUAUAUUAUAACAUAUUUUAAAGCUCAUUCAUAGUCCUUUACCCUCUCUCAACCUUUUUGACUCUGAAGAUGCCUCCAG